rnacentral:rRNA from 1 species
AUUGAACGCUGGCGGCAUGCUUUACACAUGCAAGUCGAACGGUAACAGGUUAAGCUGACGAGUGGCGAACGGGUGAGUAAUGCAUCGGAACGUGCCCGAUCGGGGGGGAUAACGCAGCGAAAGCUGCGCUAAUACCGCAUACGAUCUGAGGAUGAAAGCGGGGGACCGUAAGGCCGCGCGCGAUCGGAGCGGCCGAUGUCAGAUUAGGUAGUUGGUGGGGUAAAGGCCCACCAAGCCGACGAUCGGUAGCUGGUCUGAGAGGACGACCAGCCACACUGGGACUGAGACACGGCCCAGACUCCUACGGGAGGCAGCAGUGGGGAAUUUUGGACAAUGGGCGAAAGCCUGAUCCAGCAAUGCCGCGUGCAGGAAGAAGGCCUUCGGGUUGUAAACUGCUUUUGUACGGAGCGAAAAGGUCCUUUCUAAUACAAGGGGCUCAUGACGGUACCGUAAGAAUAAGCACCGGCUAACUACGUGCCAGCAGCCGCAGUAA